rnacentral:rRNA from 1 species
AAUCAACGCUGGCGGCGUGCCUAACACAUGCAAGUCGAACGAGAAAGUGGAGCAAUCCAUGAGUAAAGUGGCGACCGGGUGAGUAACACGUGACUAACCUACCUUUUAGUGGGGGAUAACCCCGGGAAACCGGGGCUAAUACCGCAUAACAUCGCAAGAUCAAAGCCGAAAGGCGCUGGAAGAGGGGGUCGCGGCUGAUUAGCUAGUUGGCGGGGUAACGGCCCACCAAGGCGAAGAUCGGUAUCCGGCCUGAGAGGGCGCACGGACACA